AGAGUUUGAUCCUGGCUCAGAUUGAACGCUGGCGGUAUGCUUAACACAUGCAAGUCGAACGGAAACGAUACUAGCUUGCUAGUAGGCGUCGAGUGGCGGACGGGUGAGUAACGCGUAGGAAUCUACCUGAUAGUGGGGGAUAGCCCGAAGAAAUUCGGAUUAAUACCGCAUAAUCUAUUCGUAGUAAAGUGGGGGACUUUCGAGCCUCACGCUAUCAGAUGAGCCUGCGUAAGAUUAGCUAGUUGGUAGGGUAAAAGCCUACCAAGGCGACGAUCUUUAGCUGGUCUGAGAGGAUGAUCAGCCACAUCGGGACUGAGACACGGCCCGAACUCCUACGGGAGGCAGCAGUGGGGAAUAUUGGACAAUGGGGGCAACCCUGAUCCAGCAAUACCGCGUGUGUGAAGAAGGCCUGAGGGUUGUAAAGCACUUUCAAUUGUGAAGAAAAGCUAGUGGUUAAUAGCCAUUAGCCUUGACGUUAACUUUAGAAGAAGCACCGGCUAACUCCGUGCCAGCAGCCGCGGUAAUACGGAGGGUGCAAGCGUUAAUCGGAAUUACUGGGCGUAAAGCGUGCGUAGGCGGUUUAUUAAGUCAGAUGUGAAAGCCCCGGGCUUAACCUGGGAACUGCAUUUGAAACUGGUCAACUAGAGUAUGGUAGAGGAAAGUGGAAUUUCUGGUGUAGCGGUGAAAUGCGUAGAUAUCAGAAGGAACAUCAAUGGCGAAGGCAACUUUCUGGACCAAUACUGACGCUGAGGUACGAAAGCGUGGGUAGCAAACAGGAUUAGAUACCCUGGUAGUCCACGCCGUAAACGAUGAUAACUAGCCGUUGGGGGGAUUUACCCCUUAGUGGCGAAGCUAACGCGUUAAGUUAUCCGCCUGGGGAGUACGGCCGCAAGGUUAAAACUCAAAGGAAU
rnacentral:rRNA from 1 species